AGAGUUUGAUCAUGGCUCAGAACGAACGCUGGCGGCGUGGAUAAGACAUGCAAGUCGUACGCUGGUAUGCGGGUAGCAAUAUUUGCAUAUUGGAGUGGCGAACGGGUGAGUAACACGUGGGUAAUUUAUCUUUGAGUUAGGGAUAAUUCGCUGAAAGGCGGACUAAUACCGAAUGUGGAUACUGGGUGGGGACAUCUGGUUUCUAAAGUUGGGGACCGAGAGGCCUGGCGCUCACAGGUAAGCCCGCGUCCUAUCAGCUGGUUGGUGAGGUAAGAGCUUACCAAGGCUAUGACGGGUAGCUGGUCUGAGAGGACGAUCAGCCACACUGGAACUGAGACACGGUCCAGACACCUACGGGUGGCAGCAGUCGAGAAUCUUUCUCAAUGGGGGCAACCCUGAAGGAGCGACGCCGCGUGGGGGAUGAAGGGCUUCGGCUCGUAAACCCCUGUCAUUUGUGAGCAGGUGUGAUUGUUUAAGAGAUGGUUACAUAGAUAGUAGCAAAAGAGGAAGGGACGGCUAACUCUGUGCCAGCAGCCGCGGUAAUACAGAGGUCCCAAGCGUUGUUCGGAAUCACUGGGCGUAAAGGGUGCGUAGGCGGUAGUGUAAGACUUAGGUGAAAUCUCCAUGCUUAACGUGGAGCUCGCCUGGGAGACUGCAUUACUUGAGGGAUUGGAGGGGGAGACUGGAAUUCUUGGAG
rnacentral:rRNA from 1 species